ensembl:lncRNA
CUGGGGUUGGAGCUGAGAUUAGAUUAGAUGUUAGGGUUAGAGGCUGGGGUUGGAGCUGAGAUUAGAUUAGGUGUUAGGGUUAGAGGCUGGAGUUGGGGUUGGAGCUGAGAUUAGGUGUUAGGGUUAGAGGCUGGGGUUGGAGCUGAGCUUAGAUUAGGUGUUUAGGGUUAGAGACUGGGGUUGGAGCUGAGAUUAGAUUAGAUUAGGUGGUUAGAGACUGGGGUUAGAGCUGAGGUUAGAUUAGGUGUUAGGGUUAGAGUCUGGGGUUGGAGCUGAGAUUAGAUUAGGUGUUAGGGUUAGAGGCUGGAGUUGGGGUUGGAGCUGAGAUUAGGUGUUAGGGUUAGAGACUGGGAUUGGAGCUGAGAUUAGAUUAGGUGUUAGGGUUAGAGACUGGGGUUGGAGCUGAGAUUAGAUUAGGUGUUAGGGUUAGAGACUGGGGUUAGAGCUGAGGUUAGAUUAGGUGUUAGGGUUAGAGUCUGGGGUUGGAGCUGAGAUUACAUUAGGUGUUAGGGUUAGAGGCUGGGGUUGGGGUUGGAGCUGAGAUUAGGUGUUAGGGUUAGAGACUGGGGUUAGAGCUGAGGUUAGAUUAGUUGUUAGGGUUAGAGGCUGGGGUUGGAGCUGAGAUUAGAUUAGGUGUUAGGGUUAGAGGCUGGGGUUGG